CUCGUUAAUGAUCCCUCCGCUGGUUCACCAACGGAGACCUUGUUACGACUUUUACUUCC
rnacentral:rRNA from 1 species